rnacentral:rRNA from 1 species
CAAGCCGACGACGGGUAGGGGGCGUGAGAGCGUGGCCCCCCACACGGGAACUGAGACACGGUCCCGACGCCUACGGGCGGCAGCAGUGAGGAAUCUUGCCCAAUGGGGGAAACCCUGAGGCAGCGACACCGCGUGCGGGAUGAAGGCCUUCGGGUCGUAAACCGCUUUUCUGGGGGACGAGUAAGGACGGUACUCCAGGAAUAAGUCCCGGCUAACUACGUGCCAGCAGCCGCGGUAAAACGUAGGGGGCGAGCGUUAUCCGGAAUCACUGGGCGUAAAGGGCGUCUAGGCGGCAGCCUAAGUCCCGUGUGAAAGCUCCCGGCUCAACUGGGAGAGGGCAUGGGAGACUGGGCAGCUAGAGACUCGGAGGGGGGUGUGGAAUUCCCGGUGGAGUGGUGGAAUGCGUUGAGAUCGGGAGGAACACCAGUAGCGAAGGCGGCACCCUGGCCGAGAUCUGACGCUGAAGCGCGAGAGCGUGGGGAGCGAACGGGAUUAGAUACCCCGGUAGUCCACGCCGUAAACGAUGACAACUAGGUGUUGGGUGUCCAAGGAUGCUCAGUACCGCAGCAAACGCGAUAAG